rnacentral:rRNA from 1 species
UACGUAGGGUGCGAGCGUUGCCCGGAUUUAUUGGGCGUAAAGGGCGCGUAGGCGGCCACGCACGUCCGUUGUGAAAUCGCCCGGCUCAACUGGGCGGGGUCGGCGGAUACGGCGUGGCUGGAGCAAGCUAGGGGGCAAUGGAAUUCCCGGUGUAGUGGUGGAAUGCGUAGAUAUCGGGAGGAACACCAGUGGCGAAGGCGACUACCUGGCCUGUUCUUGACGCUGAGGCGCGAAAGCGUGGGGAGCAAACAGG